UGCACGCUGCCAAGCAACAGACGGGUUAUUUUAUUUUUAGCUAAAAAAAACAAAAAACAUUCAGGUCAAAACGCGUGUAUUCAGUUUGCGCAUACGCGCAACUUUUAACCAAAAGCAAACGAAAAUGGAUACGAAAAUAAAGGUGCCACACCUUCCGAAGCCCAGAGUGCUGCUGUGGGUAGAUGCAAGCUUCA